UACGAAGGGGGCUAGCGUUGCUCGGAAUCACUGGGCGUAAAGGGUGCGUAGGCGGGUCUUUAAGUCAGGGGUGAAAUCCUGGAGCUCAACUCCAGAACUGCCUUUGAUACUGAAGGUCUUGAGUAUGGGAGAGGUGAGUGGAACUGCGAGUGUAGAGGUGAAAUUCGUAGAUAUUCGCAAGAACACCAGUGGCGAAGGCGGCUCACUGGCCCAUUACUGACGCUGAGGCACGAAAGCGUGGGGAGCAAACAGG
rnacentral:rRNA from 1 species